UCCUUUGGAGACGACUCGCGCGCAUCCCUUGAAAUCGGCCUUUCUGCCGUCUCUGAGAGAGUCGACUCCGAAAAGUCGGGAGUCGACUCCGACCCUGCGAGACGCCUCGGCAGGUGCCGGGGACGUCUCCAGGCGUGCCAGUUCCUCUUCUACGUGCCAGAGACGUCUCUGGAACAAACCGGAGACGUCUCGGCUGCCCCUGAUCCGUUUUCUUCA
rnacentral:lncRNA from 1 species